ACAAUCACCUCCAACACCCCAUCUGUUACUUUCUUCAUCUCCAUCAGGAUCUCCUCUCUCUUCUUGGAUUUGGGGAUGCCCCCCACAAACAGACGACAGUUGUCCACACUGGCACACACUCCCAGGAGCCUUCCGUUCCUGGAGAAUAAACAGAUUGGAUUGAAUGGAAAGAUUGAUUGAUUUUUUGUCAACAAUGCACACAAUGAAACCCAAUAUUGUUACUGUCGGGUGAGUGUUGGUAGUCCUGCAUUCAGUUUUCCAUGACUCGUGCGUAUGUUUGUGCUGGCUAACCAUUAGGCUACACAGGGCUUUUCCCCCAUUUCAUUCCAUUGUGUCAUGUGAUUGCUUACCUGAUUUCAUAGUUAUUGAGCUGUUUCAUGGCGGUCUUGGCUUCAUUUUUGUUGUAAAAGGUAACGAAGGAAUAUCCUCUAUUAUUGCCGUUGAAGUCCAUCAUCAUCCGAACCUCAAAGAUUUUCCCAAACUGUGAAUUGAAAGGGGAUGCGUUUGAAAACCAAGGACACACAAUAGGUUAGACUUUGGGAACUGAUUUAACUGGCAAACCUAUCUUACUUUCUCACAGUGGGGGACCAGCUCAUCCUCAAAGAGGUCUCUUGGCAGCUUCCCCACAAAGAUCUCACUGCCCCUCUCUGGGGGAGGGCCUUUCCAGCCUGGAGGGGGCCCGCCGUACCUCCUCUGACCAUUCUCCUGUAGACACAACGGACUGAUGAGAAAGAGAGAGGUCCUGCUGGUGAUGACAAGUCUCCACUCCUCCAGAUCAGAGGGAUGGGGAACGAGGGAGAGAGAGGGGGUCACAGGGUACGUGACGGCCACACAAACCAUCUUCAAAUGGUCUCAAGUGCCAAUCAUGACAGAAAUGAUGUCAUACACACACCUUCUUCCCCCAAAUAUAGUCAAACCAAUUUCUCCUUCAAGACAAUGAAUUCUCCCAACACACACAAGAUGGCUUUGUUUUCACUGUUCACUCCUCACCACUCUCUUCGACGGCUCCCCGGAAGACUUUGUUGAAAAUGUCAAGACGCCAGGCAAUAUAAAUAAAUACUGGAGUUGACCUGCUCUCAGGUCGAGCCCCAUCAUUUACCACAGUCAAGCCAGAGGGGGCAUGGUUUCUCACUCUCAUUUAAGAUUUCAGAUUGAUUUCACAAUAUCAUCAGUAACAAUACUGGGACCCAGGUCGCAUAUUUUAAUCUGUGAAUUCAAUAUUAGCUGCCAUUACGAUACUCUCCAGGCCUGUGUCUAGAGAGAUGAGUUAUUUCGGCAUCAUUCACUUGCAGAACAUUGGCGUGGGCAGCCAACCAUGGCAACGGCACUAUUCCCUGACCAAGAAAAACACGAAAUUAAUCUCUACAGUCAAAGACGAGGUAUUCGAGGUUCCGUUGCCACUUUGAGCCUAGGCUAACACCUGGGGAGGGAAACGGUCUUUAGGUUCUAUUUCUGUUCUGGGUGGCUUGGAGAGAAGAUGUCAUUAUGAGGCUCUAGGCCUUGAGUGGAUGUACUACUACUACAGGACUCCAUUACUGAAUUCAAUUCAACUCAACUCAAUUCAUUUCAAUUCAAGGGGCUUUAUUGGCAUGGGUAACAUAUAUUACAUUGCCAAGCAAGUGAAGUAGAUAACAUACAAAAGUGAAAUAAAUAAUACCCUCUCAA